rnacentral:rRNA from 1 species
AUUGAACGCUGGCGACAUGCCUUACACAUGCAAGUCGAACGGCAGCACGGGUGCUUGCCCCUGGUGGCGAGUGGCGAACGGGUGAGUAAUACAUCGGAACAUGUCCUGUAGUGGGGGAUAGCCCGGCGAAAGCCGGAUUAAUACCGCAUACGAUCUACGGAUGAAAGCGGGGGCCCUUCGGGCCUCGCGCUAUAGGGUUGGCCGAUGGCUGAUUAGCUAGUUGGUGGGGUAAAGGCCUACCAAGGCGACGAUCAGUAGCUGGUCUGAGAGGACGACCAGUCACACUGGGACUGAGACACGGCCCAGACUCCUACGGGAGGCAGCAGUGGGGAAUUUUGGACAAUGGGCGAAAGCCUGAUCCAGCAAUGCCGCGUGUGUGAAGAAGGCCUUCGGGUUGUAAAGCACUUUUGUCCGGAAAGAAAUCCUUGGCCCUAAUACGGUCGGGGGAUGACGGUACCGGAAGAAUAAGCACCGGCUAACUACGUG